rnacentral:rRNA from 1 species
AGAAUCAACGCUGGCGGCGUGCCUAACACAUGCAAGUCGAACGAGAAAGGGGAGCAAUCCCUGAGUAAAGUGGCGACCGGGUGAGUAACACGUGACUAACCUACCUUCGAGUGGGGGAUAACUCCGGGAAACCGGGGCUAAUACCGCAUAACAUCCUCGGAUCGGAAGAACUGGGGAUCAAAGGAGCAAUUCGCUUGAAGAGGGAGUCGCGGCUGAUUAGCUUGUUGGCGGGGUAAUGGCCCACCAAGGCGAUGAUCGGUAUCCGGCCUGAGAGGGGCGCGACGGACGACGACCUAGGAACUGAACACGGUCCAGACUCCUACGGAGGCAGCAGUGGGGAAUUUUGCGCAAUGGGGGAAACCCUGACGCAGCAACGCCGCGUGGAGGAUGGAAGUCCCCUUGGGACGUAAACUCCUUUCGACCGGGACGAUAAUGACGGUACCGGUGGAAGAAGCCCCGGCUAACUUCGUGCCAGCAGCCGC